GACUCCGUAGUGUAUGGUAUGCGUCCACUACCUUUAAUGGUGAUCACGCAGAAGAAUUCAGCGGAAGAACCUGGUUCGAAUCCGGGCGGGGUCU